UUGGAAAAUUUAAAAGAAGACGGGAAAUCAUAUAUGCUUAAACAUACUCUGAGUAAUGGGACCUCAGCAGUUGUGAAGUAUGAGGAAGAAAAUGAUUUAGAUACUGGACUUGGCAUGGGGAAUUUGGAAACUAUGAAGGAUUGUCAUAAUAUAGAGAACAUAAAAACAGAAAAUUUCUUAGGGAGUCAAUUAGAAAGGGAAAAGAUUGAGAGCCCAAGAAGGAUUUUGAGGAGUAAUUUGGGGAAGAAAAUGAAUGAGAGCUCAAGAAAGGUUCUGAGAAGCAAUUCAGUGACGAGAAAGACCAAGAGCUCAAAAACAGUUUUGAGGAAUAGUUCAAGGUGGAGAAAGACUGCGCGAGCGACCAAAACUUUGAAGAGUGGUUCCAUAAGAGAAGAUAAUGAGAGCUUGAGUUUGAAGGAGGCACUGAAGAGAGAAAAUGCUGAGAGCCUCGGAACUUUGAGGAGUAAUCCAUGUGGAGAAAAUGGUAAGAGUCCUAGUAUUUUGAAUGAUGCAGUGCAGAGAGAAAAGACAGAGAGGCUUGGAACUCUGAGUAACCCACGGGGAGAAAAUAACAAAAGUUCAAGUAUUAUGAAUAAUGCAGUGAAGAGAGAAAAGACAGAGAGCCUUGAAACUUUGAAGAGUAAUCCUCAAGGAGAAAAUAGCAAGAGUCCGACUAUUUUGAAUGAUCCAGUGAAGAGAGAAAAGACUCCGUGCAAUAGAACUUUGAUAAAUGGUCCAAGGAGGGAAAGCAUGGGAACUGAAAGAAAGUUAAGAGAUGCUCAUUCCAUAGAUAAAAAGAGUCCACUAGUUGAGAAGAAUCUGCAAACGGAAACUAAAAGUCCCGUUUUUUUUCCAGAAACUGGUUGUUCAAUCAAAAGGCAUAGCCUGGAGGGUAUUCAUUUGGCUAAGCAGAGGUUCGACCAUGGUAUUAAGUCUGAAUUUGAUGAUGAAAGCUACCAAAUACAUCUGAAUUUUGUGAAGAAAAAUGAUAGAUGUUUGGUACAUGCACCUGAAGGUGGUAAAAAAAUCGUGCAUUUUGGGGAUGAUGAGAGUGAUUCAGAAGUAUUUGUUCUGGAUAAUCCUUUUUUUACAGGAACUCCAUUUGUAUCAGCAAGAUCACGUCUUUAUAUGGUGAAGGGUGCACUGACAAUAAUGAAUCUCAGUUCAGAGAUGGACUUCUUGAAAUUCUUCAAAAGCCUUACGACUUCACAGAGUACGCUCGUUUGCAAAUUGAUAGCAGACCCUAUCUUCGUAAGCAUGAUGAUGAAAAAAAAAAUAGACUUGUUUAGUUGGGAGACAGUGUGCUCGAUUUGCCAAGAUCCACUGAACGUUUUGGUUGAGUUGCAUGCCAAGCCAGUUAAAGACCUCUGUUUGCAGUUAUCAUAGGGCUGUAAGAAAAAAAUCUAUUUUGCAGAAGUAAUACGUCAGGCACGACGUGAUCGUCGAAAAAUUUUGAAUCUGUUUCGUGGAUUUUUCUAUUGGUUGCAGUAUAUGCAUUCAGAAGGAACGUUUAUGCCUUGGUUGGACUCUCAAAUCGUAAGCAUUUUACCUCCAGAUGACUACUAGACUUCUCUCUGAUUAAGAAUGCAACAUCUGAAAAUCCCAAGGCAAAACAUG